UGCUCUGUGAGAUCAUUGGCUAACGGCUGAGUAACGCGUGAGCAACCUGCCCCUGACUCUGGGAUAAGCGCUGGAAACGGCGUCUAAUACUGGAUACGAGUAGCGACCGCAUGGUCAGUUACUGGAAAGAUUUAUUGGUUGGGGAUGGGCUCGCGGCCUAUCAGCUUGUUGGUGAGGUAAUGGCUCACCAAGGCGUCGACGGGUAGCCGGCCUGAGAGGGUGACCGGCCACACUGGGACUGAGACACGGCCCAGACUCCUACGGGAGGCAGCAGUGGGGAAUAUUGCACAAUGGGCGCAAGCCUGAUGCAGCAACGCCGCGUGAGGGAUGACGGCCUUCGGGUUGUAAACCUCUUUUAGCAGGGAAGAAGCGAAAGUGACGGUACCUGCAGAAAAAGCGCCGGCUAACUACGUGCGAGCAGCCGCGGUAAUACGUAGGGCGCAAGCGUUAUCCGGAAUUAUUGGGCGUAAAGAGCUCGUAGGCGGUUUGUCGCGUCUGCUGUGAAAUCCGGAGGCUCAACCUCCGGCCUGCAGUGGGUACGGGCAGACUAGAGUGCGGUAGGGGAGAUUGGAAUUCCUGGUGUAGCGGUGGAAUGCGCAGAUAUCAGGAGGAACACCGAUGGCGAAGGCAGAUCUCUGGGCCGUAACUGACGCUGAGGAGCGAAAGGGUGGGGAGCAAACAGGCUUAGAUACCCUGGUAGUCCACCCCGUAAACGUUGGGAACUAGUUGUGGGGUCCAUUUCACGGAUUCCGUGACGCAGCUAACGCAUUAAGUUCCCCGCCUGGGGAGUACGGCCGCAAGGCUAAAACUCAAA
rnacentral:rRNA from 1 species